AUUGAACGCUGGCGGCAUGCCUUACACAUGCAAGUCGAACGGCAGCACGGGGGCAACCCUGGUGGCGAGUGGCGAACGGGUGAGUAAUGCAUCGGAACGUGCCCAGUAGUGGGGGAUAACUAGUCGAAAGAUUAGCUAAUACCGCAUACGACCUAUGGGUGAAAGCGGGGGACCUUUACCGGCCUCGCGCUAUCGGAGCGGCCGAUGUCUGAUUAGCUAGUUGGCGGGGUAAAAGCCCACCAAGGCUUCGAUCAGUAGCUGGUCUGAGAGGACGACCAGCCACACUGGGACUGAGACACGGCCCAGACUCCUACGGGAGGCAGCAGUGGGGAAUUUUGGACAAUGGGCGCAAGCCUGAUCCAGCCAUGCCGCGUGCGGGAAGAAGGCCU
rnacentral:rRNA from 1 species